GUUGUCUUUGGAGAUUUUUAGUGUUAUAUGUGGAAAUUAUAAAUUGUAAAUUACACCUGAGAAAAUGAAGAACAGAAGAGAAUCCAU